rnacentral:rRNA from 1 species
GACGAACGCUGGCGGCGAGCUUAACACAUGCAAGUCGAACGGAAAGGCCCUGCUUUUGUGGGGUGCUCGAGUGGCGAACGGGUGAGUAACACGUAAGUAACCUGCCCUUGACUUUGGGAUAACUUCAGGAAACUGGGGCUAAUACCGGAUAGGAGCUCCUGCUGCUUGGUGGGGGUUGGAAAGUUUCGGCGGUUGGGGAUGGACUCGCGGCUUAUCAGCUUGUUGGUGGGGUAGUGGCUUACCAAGGCUUUGACGGGUAGCCGGCCUGAGUGGGUGACCGGCCACAUUGGGACUGAGAUACGGCCCAGACUCCUACGGGAGGCAGCAGUGGGGAAUAGUGCACAAUGGGCGGAAGCCUGAUGCAGCAACGCCGCGUGCGGGAUGACGGCCUUCGGGUUGUAAACCGCUUUCGCCUGUGACGAAGCGUGAGUGACGGUAAUGGGUAAAGAAGCACCGGCUAACUACGUG